AAGAGGCGUUCCGGCAAGUUGACCUCGGGCGUAGUCCACAGGUAACGUACCUCUGCACACACCCGUUUGUCCAUUGGAUAUUGACCUCUUGUGAUUUUGAAUUUUCUCUUACUUACGCAUCAAGCAAACUUUUGUACUCCAGAAUUCCUGAGAUCAAAUUGGCAGCAAACCUGACGAAGAAACGACACACCAUGAGAAUCGAAGGGAGCUUCGAAAGUCUGGCGUGGGAAAACCAUGGCGGGACUGGAGUUAACCGGCAACGCCAGUCUGUUGUUGAGCUUGCGUUGCAGUAGCUCUCCCACACCUCCGGGGGCGCCAAAGCGCCUGACCGCCCGCUGGGUCUCUUGGAAGCGUUCCUCACUGAGCAGGUGUUUCAUGCAUCUCAGCAUCCAUCUUCCAAAGACAUGAUCAAGAAGACCAACUAUUAAGUCUCUCGCUGUGGCUCCGCAGAGAUGCUGAUGAAGAGGGGGGG